rnacentral:rRNA from 1 species
AUUGAACGCUGGCGGCAUGCUUUACACAUGCAAGUCGAACGGCAGCGCGGGAUUCGGCCUGGCGGCGAGUGGCGAACGGGUGAGUAAUACAUCGGUACGUGCCCAGCAGUGGGGGAUAGCUCGGCGAAAGCCGGAUUAAUACGGUAAUCGACCUGAGGGCGAAAGCGGGGGAUCUUCGGAUCUCCCGCUAUUGGACCGGCCGAUGGCCGAUUAGCUAGUUGGUGGGGUAAAGGCCUACCAAGGCGACGAUCUGUAGCUGGUCUGAGAGGACGACCAGCCACACUGGAACUGAGACACGGCCCAGACUCCUACGGGAGGCAGCAGUGGGGAAUUUUGGACAAUGGGCGAAAGCCUGAUCCAGCAAUGCCGCGUGUGUGAUGAAGGCCUUCGGGUUGUAAAGCACUUUUGGCGGGAACGAAAAGCACUGUGCCAAUACCACGGUUCGAUGACGGUACCCGCAGAAUAAGCACCGGCUAACUACGUG